CAAUAGCGUAUAUUAAAGUUGUUGCAGUUAAAAAGCUCGUAGUUGGAUUUGUGGCGUACGGUGUGUUCCGGGCACUUGUUGUCUGAGUAACCUGCUGUUGCCAUCCUUGGGUGGAACCUGUGUGGCAUUAGGUUGUCGUGCAGGGGAUGCCCAUCAUUUACUGUGAAAAAAUUAGAGUGUUCAAAGCAGGCUUAUGCCGUUGAAUAUAUUAGCAUGGAAUAAUGAGAUAGGACUUUUUUGCUAUUUUGUUGGUUUGCGCAAGAAGGUAAUGAUUAAUAGGGACAGUUGGGGGUAUUCGUAGUCCAUUGUCAGAGGUGAAAUUCUUGGAUUUUUGGAAGACGAACUACUGCGAAAGCAUUUACCAAGGAUGUUUUCAUUAA
rnacentral:rRNA from 1 species